GAUUAACAGUCUUAAAUUGUCAAAAGAAGUUGAAAAUCUGUCAAACCUCCAAGAUGGUGUCAUCUUCAUCAGUCUUGUGUGCAGAAUAAGUGGAAAGGAAAAUCCACUGAAGUUAAUUGAAGAGAAAACCAUUGAGGAGAGAUUCCAAUUUAUCUGCAACUUUUUAGAAUGUUCUGAAGUCCAGAAGACUCAGUCAG